rnacentral:lncRNA from 1 species
AAAACCCUCAACCAAACCAUUAUUAAGUUGAUAAGCGUGAGAGUGCUUUGAACACUCUUUCGUGGCCUUCCACCAUGGUAGGCUCCGAUUGUUUGUGACUCGUACACCGACUUCACCCUAUCAUGGGGGAGUACAAAGUGUGUGCUUACACUCAGGAGGAGUCUAUAUGCAUACUUGAUGUUGUGAAAGGUAGGCAACGAGAAUAGCCAACAUCAUAUCAUUGUGAGGUUGUUCUUGAACCCCUAC